rnacentral:ncRNA from 1 species
AUCCCGUUUCCGUGUCCGGGUUAUGGCACGGUUCCUCCCUGUAAGACUGGCCGGGCCUUGUGCCCGGUCUUUUUU